rnacentral:rRNA from 1 species
GAAGGCAGCAGGCGCGCAAAUUACCCAAUCCCGACACGGGGAGGUAGUGACAAUAAAUAACAAUACAGGGCCUUUCAGGUCUUGUAAUUGGAAUGAGUACAAUUUAAAUCUCUUAACGAGGAACAAUUGGAGGGCAAGUCUGGUGCCAGCAGCCGCGGUAAUUCCAGCUCCAAUAGCGUAUAUUAAAGUUGUUGCAGUUAAAAAGCUCGUAGUUGAAUUUUAGGCCUGGCCGGGCGGUCCGUCUUUGGCGAGUACUGUCUUGUUGUCGGGUCUUCCUUCUGGUGAACCAGUAUGUCCUUUAUUGGGUGUGUUGGGGAGCCAGGACCAUUACCUUGAAAAAAUUAGAGUGUUUAAAGCGGGCUUUUGCUUGAAUAGAUUAGCAUGGAAUAAUAAAAUAGGACGUUGGUUCUAUUUUGUUGGUCUAGGACCACCGUAAUGAUUAAUAGGGAUAGUUGGGGGCAUUAGUAUUCAAUUGUCAGAGGUGAAAUUCUUGGAUUUAUUGAAGACUAACUAUUGCGAAAGCAUUUGCCAAGGAUGUUUUCAUUAAUCAAGAACGAAAGUUAGGGGAUCGAAGACGAUCAGAUACCGUCGUAGUCUUAACCAUAAACUAUGCCGACUAGGAAUCGGGCGACGUUAUUUUCACGACUCGCUCGGCGCCUUAUG